rnacentral:rRNA from 1 species
GUCCGCACUGUAAACGAUGAUUACUCGUUGCUGGGGAGCAAUUUCCAGUGACCAAGCGAAAGCGAUAAGUAAUCCACCUGGGGAGUACGCCGGCAACGGUGAAACUCAAAGGAAUUGACGGGGCCCGCACAAGCGGAGGAGCAUGUGGUUUAAUUCGAUGAUACGCGAGGAACCUUACCAGGGCUUGAAAGUUAGGGAAUGAUCCUGAAAGGGAUCAGUCAGCAAUGACCCGAAACUAGGUGCUGCAUGGCUGUCGU